rnacentral:rRNA from 1 species
UACGUAGGGUGCAAGCGUUGUCCGGAAUUAUUGGGCGUAAAGAGCUCGUAGGCGGUUUGUCACGUCUGCUGUGAAAUCCCGAGGCUCAACCUCGGGCCUGCAGUGGGUACGGGCAGACUGGAGUGCGGUAGGGGAGAAUGGAAUUCCUGGUGUAGCGGUGGAAUGCGCAGAUAUCAGGAGGAACACCGAUGGCGAAGGCAGUUCUCUGGGCCGUAACUGACGCUGAGGAGCGAAAGCGUGGGGAGCGAACAGG